CGCGUGGGGAGGACUCUGGGAUGGCUGAGCAUGCUGCACGCAUGCAAUUGAGAAGCAGUCCUCUGCAGCGAGGAGUAAGUGAGAGUCUCCACACACAUAGGGCAGCGAUGAACAGAGGAUGACUUCAAAAGCGGCUGGGAUUCCUGGGGGAAGCCAAUUCCGUGGCCCGGAAGCCCAAAAUUCCCACUCCUGCGUGUUUUUCCUGUCAGGGCUUUACUCACUUUGGUAUCUUCUGAUGAGUUACAAACCUGUCAGUACUUCAGUGCCUCACGAGAGGAGGGAGCCCUCCAGCCCAUCCUCUGGAUCAGAAGAUCACUCACAUCCCUGAAGCACCAAGAAGCACGAAGAGUCACAGCUGAGGCCUGUACUCAUACUCAGGGGCAUGCAGUCUGCGGCUGGGUCUGCAUAGGAUUGAAGGCUGGUUUCCAGCAGAGAUGAUGUCACCCUAUGGGAAUGAGUCCCGAUGUCAACAAGGAUGAGCGAUGGAGGAGGACAAGAGACUGCAGAAUCUGAAUUGAUAGUGUCUCCGAUUCCCACACCUUCUAUGCCCCACCCUGCUAAACUGAGAAGGGACAUGGUGCUUCGGAUUGAUUGCUGCUAAGGUGGUUCUGGUAACUUCGCCUUGCUCUUAUGACAAGGGACUUUGGAACACCGACAGCGAAUAAACUGUGCAAGAAAACACAGCAAAGAAAGGAAUUCUGAAGAUGAGUAAAUACUUCACAUCUUCCUCAUCCUGACACAAUACAAUAAAGCAGAAUGGUUAACGAAGUCUUGCUAUUCUUUCAGCCUUGAUCACUCUGUAUUAUAUAUUAAGGAUAAAGCUGUUCAACCCAAAAGGCCUCCCACGUCGUACUACAGAGAAAUGGCAGACAUUUCUCAUGGAAAGGCAC
rnacentral:lncRNA from 1 species